UACGAAGGGGGCUAGCGUUGCUCGUAAUCACUGGGCGUAAAGGGUGCGUAGGCGGGUCUUUAAGUCAGGGGUGAAAUCCUGGAGCUCAACUCCAGAACUGCCUUUGAUACUGAGGAUCUUGAGUUCGGGAGAGGUGAGUGGAACUGCGAGUGUAGAGGUGAAAUUCGUAGAUAUUCGCAAGAACACCAGUGGCGAAUGCGGCUCACUGGCCCGAUACUGACGCUGAGGCACGAAAGCUAGGGGAGCAAACAGG
rnacentral:rRNA from 1 species